rnacentral:rRNA from 1 species
UACGAAGGGGGCUAGCGUUGUUCGGAUUUACUGGGCGUAAAGCGCACGUAGGCGGAUAUUUAAGUCAGGGGUGAAAUCCUGGAGCUCAACUCCAGAACUGCCUUUGAUACUGGGUAUCUAGAGUCCGGAAGAGGUGAGUGGAACUCCUAGUGUAGAGGUGGAAUUCGUAGAUAUUAGGAAGAACACCAGUGGCGAAGGCGGCUCACUGGUCCGGUACUGACGCUGAUACGCGAAAGCGUGGGGAGCAAACAGG